UAACUCUCAAAGGUCUGAUGGUACCGUCC
rnacentral:piRNA from 1 species